ACGCUCGACACCUACGGGAGCAGCAGUCGGGAAUAUUGCGCAAUGGAGGAAACUCUGACGCAGUGACGCCGCGUGCAGGAAGAAGGUUUUCGGAUUGUAAACUGCUUUAGACAGGGAAGAAAGAAAUGACAGUACCUGUAGAAUAAGCUCCGGCUAACUACGUGCCAGUAGCCGCGGUAAUCUGAGCGGGCUGGCAAGGC
rnacentral:rRNA from 1 species